AAGUCGUAACAAGGUUUCCGUAGGUGAACCUGCGGAAGGAUCAUUAACGAAUUCUCUUUGGCUGAUGCGCCCUGUGGGCUGCACGUCAAAAAAUUCCAUCCACACACCCCUUGUGCACCUUUGGGAUGGGGCAACCCAUCCUCAUUUUUCACGCCAAGUAACAGAAUGUCUGAAUUAAUAAAAACGAAACAACUUUCAACAACGGAUCUCUUGGCUCUC
rnacentral:misc_RNA from 1 species